CGAAAUUCCUUGUCAGGUAAGUUCUGACCCGCAUGAAAGGCGUAAUGAUUUGGGCACUGUCUCAACAGCCCGCCCGGCGAAAUUGUAGUACCGGUGAAGAUGCCGGUUACCCGCGACAAGACGGAAAGACCCCAUGGAGCUUUACUGUAGCCUAAUAUUGGGUUUCGAUGUUGCAUGCACAGGAUAGAUGGGACUCUGGGAAACCAAGGCUUUGGCUUUGGCGGAGAGGCCGUUGGGAUACCAUCCUUGCGAUAUUGGAAUUCUAACCUGCGGCUCUGAAUCGAGUCGGGGGACAUUGUUAGGUGGGCAGUUUGACUGGGGCGGUCGCCUCCUAAAGAGUAACGGAGGCGUUCAAAGGUUCGCUCAGCUUGAACGGAAAUCAAGCAAAAGAGUGCAAACGCAGAAGCGAGCCUAACUGCGAGACUGACGGGUCGAGCAGUAACGAAAGUUGGAGUUAGUGAUCCGGUGGUAUGUGAGUGGAAAUGCCAUCGCUCAACGGAUAAAAGUUACCCUGGGGAUAACAGGCUGAUCUCCCCCAAGAGUCCACAUCGACGGGGAGGUUUGGCACCUCGAUGUCGGCUCAUCGCAUCCUGGGGCUGUAUUCGGUCCCAAGGGUUUGGCUGUUCGCCAAUUAAAGCGGUACGCGAGCUGGGUUCAGAACGUCGUGAGACAGUUCGGUCCCUAUCUGUCGUGGGCGCAGGAUAUUUGAUGGGAGCUGUCCCUAGUACGAGAGGACCGGGACGGACGUACCUCUGGCGCACCAGUUGUUCCGCCAGGAGCAUAGCUGGGCAACUACGUACGGAUCGGAUAAACGCUGAAAGCAUCUAAGCGUGAAGCCGACCCAAAGAUAAGAUAUCCCACUGAUUCAAUCAGGUAAGAUCCCUUGUAGACUACGAGGUUGAUAGGCACGAUGUGUAAGUGGAGCGAUCCAUUCAGCAAGUGUGUACUAAUAGGUCGAGGGCUUGACCAC
rnacentral:rRNA from 1 species